UCAGGAACUUCAGAGAUUAUGAAACAGUUCAGUGACACGUGGACAGCACUGUGAAGGAAACUGAACCUCUCAAAGUAAAGUUUAAGGGUGCUGAUGUUUGGACUCAGAACUGUAAUGCAGGGAGUAGCUGCAGGGAAAGGUCCCUGAAUUCAUGCACCCCUCACACCACCACUGGUGGAGCUGUACUGCACUCCUCAAAGUCCUACCACCCUCCUCCUGUUCCCACUAGCAUUUUCUGGCCCACUGAGG
rnacentral:lncRNA from 1 species